rnacentral:tRNA from 1 species
ACAUCUUUAGCUGAAUGGUACAGCGAUUGCCUUCGAAGCAACUGUUUAUUGGUUCGAGUCCAAUAGGAUGUU